ensembl:lncRNA
AAAUUCAGAUAAAUUAAGAAGACAAAGCAAAUAGAAAGAAAUUAAGCACAUACAUGCACACAACCAGAAGCAAGAGAGCUCUUUGCUAGCAGCCUCUCCUGUUCACUGAUACACAAUAUUAUGUUCAUGGAUACUUUACACAUGUAAAAUUAAAAUAUACAGAAUAUAUAUAAACAACAGGAAUAUAUGUAUAAAUGAAUGUAAAUAUAAUUAUAAUUAUUUAAAUAUAUUUUUAUAUAAAUAAAGGGAAUUUCCCAAAUAAAGGGAAUAUAAAUAAAUCUGUAUAUUUAUACAACAAAUAUAAAGGUGUGGUUUAUCAUAUGACAUUAAAAUUACUUCAGAACUGACAUAUUCUCUCCCCAAAAUCAUGUAAACUUUCAUGGCAUUACAGAAUCAUGUGAUAAAGUAGGACAAGAGGGAGUGCUAAAAUUAGGAAGGGGAAUGGCUCUGUGUGCAGCUUUCCUUGGGACUGGCCUAAGUGAAAAAUGAUCACCGAUGAAGCCUGUGCCAGUCAGAGAGGAAAGAGCUCCCUGGGGUGGGAAUUCUGUCUGCACUGCUGUCCCACAGGGAGCCAGGCUUAGCACAAAGCCCUGGAAUAAUUCAUUAGCUCUCACCAAGACUGCAGGAGUUAAAGGAAAUUCUUGUGUCACUUUACACUCCAGCCCACAGGAAUUCCAAACCUUCCAGUGAGAGAGUGGGUUUAAUUUGUUGUCUUUCAGUGAAAAUCUGAUCACAUGUUACAUCCCUCAUCCCAAAACUGUUCCCAAAAAUGCCUGAGGUCCAACACACCUUGGACAGGUGUUGUAGGUAAAACCCCAACACUGUCUGUGCCCUUACAUGCUGACUAAUCUUAGAAUCAUUAAUGUUGGAAAACACCUCCAAGAUCACCGAGUUCAACCUUAAAUUUCAGCUUCUCUGCAGUUCUCAUGGAUUCCUUCCAGAAGCUGCAGCUCCAACUGUUCUGCAAACACGGAUCUCUCUGCCUGGCUGGAGACACCUCCCUGUCCAAACAGCACGUUCACCACUCUGCAGCCCCUGCAGGAGAUCUGCUUUCUUUCCUUCUCUUGGGAGGCACUUUUUUGUGGAAUUGAGAGCCCCUCUAAGCCUUUCUUGUUUAAAAUGGAGUCCGAGGGAAUGAUUUUCACAAGGGGGAAACUGAGUUUUGUAAUUCCCGAAAAUCUGAGUCACUGCUACCCACUGCCAGUUGCCACUUUAGGAGCUCAGUCUGGCAACUGUGUCCCAGUGGGCAGAGGAAGUGGGAAAUAUUUGGGCAUUGUCCAGGAGGAGAAGUUCUCCACAAACACUUCCGGCUGUUCCAGCAGUGGACGGGAAUGCAGCGUGUGUUGUCCAGGUUUUGGGAAAGCCUCGUGCCUGGACAGGCUGGAAGUGCACAGUAGUGCCUGGGCUGAACGUGGCUUUGCUGCCAAUGCCAUUAAUUCCUGAUUUCAUGCAGAAUUCUGCCAUCCCUGCCCUGUCCUGAGGCGCUUUCCCUCCCAAAUGAAGCUGCAAACUGCAGCUUCCCUGCUGGGCAGCUGUCUCACCAGGACUUUUCAGCUGAUCUACCUGGAAAAAGCUGAGCUGAUAAAGACCCAGACCAGGCUGGAAAGGAAGAGGAACCACCUUCCCACAGAGAUCCCAGUGUGUGGCUGGACUGAAGCUCCUGGUGCUGUCCAGGCUCCCCAGUCUCUCAGAUUUCUCCUUUCAGGGGAGAUGAGUGUUGGCAAUGAACACCAGUCUGUGGUGCCUCUCUCCAGAACUCUGCCUGCUCCUGGUUUUAAGGAAAACCUGAGAAAAUUUCAGCUACUUUGACAGAAAAUGGUUGACUGGAACUUCCCUGCAUCCUGGCAGGAUCCAUCUGUAUUUGAAGAGGACAAAUAUCUCUAUAGCAACCCCUGUUUGUCACUUGGGCUCUUCCUAAGGCGCUGGGUGUGCUCCCUGUCAGGUGCUGCACACCUGAGGUCCCCUUGGUCACCACCCCUGACUAUUUUAGAAACAAUUGUCUCAGUAUUUUAGCACCAGCACCAUGGAUGGUUCAGGCCCCCUGAGCCAUUUAGAGCAGGUUCCUCCACACCCAGGCAGUCACAGUGAGCCUGUGCCCGGCCUCUGCCUUCUGGCAAGCUGGGCAAGAGUGAAUUCACUAAAAAAUGUUUACACUGCGCCCAAUUAUGGCAACAUUUGGAGUGGGGAGCCGUCCCCAAAAGAGGAAAGAUAGAAAAUAAAAAUGUAAUCACAUGCAAAAGCCCAGCAAGACAGAAAUUAGAAAGGGAGAAUAAAAUCCCCCUUCCUGAGGGAUACUACAGCAGGCAGCAGAAUUCCAGAGGCAGGAGCUGGCUGGCUGCUGCUCCUGGUUUUGUCAUGAAGGGCAGGACAGCAUCCCUGGCUGAGGGACCCCUGGCUGCUGCUGCCAGCAGGGACCAGGGGGAAAACUCAUCUUUGUGCAGAUGCUCUUGGAAGGCAGAGGGAGAGAAGAUGCAACCCCCUCAGCAGAAGCCCUGACAGAGGAGGUGUUUCUUCCUGCUCGCAGAGCAUCCUGCGGUGUGACCCUUCCAGGCUGCUGUUUUCCAGCAUUCCCAGCAUGCUGCUGCUCCACUUCCUUCCAAUCUGUGCUCCUGGAGGUGUUCAGGAUAGCUCUUCCCAUAAGGAAUGCUGCUUUCCCCACGUCCUCUGCAACAAGGGUGGUGCUCUGCCAGCCCAGCAGAGUCCCUCACUCAGGGCCACUUUCUGCUCCUCACAAAAGCCCAUAAUCUAGAAUUUCUGUGGAUUUUUGCCUUUUUCAGGAAACUGAACUGAGCAUGUGAGAGACAACCAGUACCAGCCAGAGCAGCUGCUGUGCUUUUCCUGGUUCUCUCAUGAAAUGAGAUUUAAGAAGCUGGUGUCUACUCCUGGCUGGAUCCCUCUGGUAUACAAAGGAAUAAUUAAUGAAAAAUAAGUAAUCUGCAUUUAUGGGCUCCUUUUGCAGACAAUACUUGAUUAAUCUCCACAGUCAUCUACCCAAAUAAGAGGAGAUUGACAUCUUAAUCUGUCAUAAAUCAAACAGGCAGGGAGCCUGACAGACAAACAGCACAGAGCCUACCUUUGGGUUUAGCCUACAUUAUUCUAAAUCUAAUUUAAGGCAACACCAGGACUCUGAAGAUGGGUUUUAAGGCUGCAUUUCAAGGCACCACAACCCGGGAUGUGUUCCCUGCUUCUCCUACUGCAUCUCCCUGCCAUUGUCACCGAUUCUUGUCACACACAAAGAAAAUCAGCUUCACUCUCUGCUUCAGGCACCAGGGGACGGUGGCACCAGAGGUCCCCAAGCCUGCAGAGCUUUUUUUGGAAAGCCAAGACCUGCCAGCUCCAUGGAGGAGCACCAAGGGCUGGGAUAGUGGGGAAGCAGCUGUUUGCUUUCUGCAGGAAUGCCCCGGCUGUGCUCGGGUUUGGGGGAGGUCGCUGUAAUUUGCAAAUCAAAACCAAACAAAGUCGGACAACGAAAUCUUCUCCGGGGACAUUAUGGAUUUCCUCGGGCUAUAAAAAUGUUGAAGCCUCUAAACAUCUCAGACCUGUUUUCCUGCAUUCCAGGGCUAUAGCCUACCUGUACCCUAAGGCUAAGAUGGAAUCACCGUCUCACACCGAUUCUUCCUGACAUUCACAACUCCUUAAAAAAAAAAAUUCCCUUCCCAAAUUCGCUUUUGGUAAGUAAAGGAAGCAGAUAAGGAAACAGAAAUGGUACUUUUUUCUAAGGAGAAGGUGUGAAAGAUGCAAAUGCACAAGUGUGAAAGACAGACCAGACUCCAAGGUAUUCGUGACUGUUGAUCUUAGCACUAUCAACAUCUUUUUGUCGCAGAUGUCAUCACAGAGGUGAAGUGAGUAGCAACUGUGACUCAGGAUGGCAGCGUGGGCUCUGGCAUGACGGGAGCCGAUUUCUCACUCUCUGCCUGUUCCUGAGCCAUCAGCCUCCAACAGUUUGUUCACAGACUGCUGCCUUCGAGCAGCAUUACAUUCUUAGCUGCCAGGUAAUUUUGUGGGUGUUUACCAAAUCAUGUUGAUGUUCGAUGAAAUUCAAACCCCUUUAAUUGGCAUUUCCUUGUUGGGCACGCAGGAUGAACCAGAUGCAGUGGGGCCAAUACUAAGAGCAUCCUAAGGAGGAAAAUAUCAAUCCACUGUGCAGAAUAUUUGGCAUCAACAGCAUAAUUCCUCCCGAUUUGAGUGGUUUGCCUUGUCUGUGUCCU